UACAGGAAGGAACGUUUCUAGAUCCCUGAGGAGCUCAAGUUCAUGGCUGCACCUCCUGCGGAACCCGAAAUGUGUGCCUGCUGCUGAAGGUGCAGCAACUUACUCCUAUUUUUCAUUCAGUCCCUCCUGAAAAAGAACCUUGUCAGCACCAAGGAAGGCUGGGAUCUGCUGGGGAGAAUCCGGGUGAAAUGCACCCAGGAUCAGUGUCCCUCAGGUGGUUCCCCAUGAGAGAUGUGUCACAGGCUGGGAGGCAGCCAGUACCUGGGACUUCAAGGGAGCUGCUCAGCAGGGUCGGAGGAAGCUGGAACUGAGCCGAGGGAGGGCUUGCUCUCAUCUUUCCUGGCUCUCCCACUUUCUGCUGCUAUUUUUCCUACCUGGUUCAUUUAUAUAGUCCUGUUAACGAGGUGUUUCUCUCAGCAGAACCAGCUGCCGUUGCCCAGCUGGAGUCCGGCUGAUCAGAAUCAGGGCUGAAAUUGCAAGGAGGACUUUUGGCAAGAUGGAAAAUCGUGCAGAUUGUCUAAAAAAGGAAACCCACUCAUGUUUAUAAUGGGACAUGGCAGUGUAGGUCUGGAUUAAAGCCCUGCUACCGUAAAGCUUCAGCAGCGUGGCAUUGUGGGGCUGGUCUGGAGCUAAAGCAGCGAUUUCUGUGAGCCUUCCAAGUCUUCCCUGAGCCCUUCGUGCAUUUGGCUUGCAUGGAGGGAAAGACAGAAUCAAACGGUUCGUGCUUUCCUCAAGCUAAUUGCCUCGAGUAGAAGUUAAUACAAAACUGACAUCAAAGUGAAUGGCUUUUAAAUUAAAUCAUUAGACAUCGGAGAAGGAAAACAAAACAGGUACUAAAUCCAGUUGUUCUCGUAUUUAGAAUGAGAAUAAAAAGCCUUUGAUGUCAGUGUCAAAUCCCAGUACAUUUAUAGGGCAUUUACGCAGAAACACCGAGGUGUUGUUUCAUCUGGGUUGCCCCUCCCUCUCUCCCCAUUGCACGCAGAGGAGUUUUCAACGAGGAAACGGAGAGAACUUGAAAGCAAACGCAUUAUUUCCCCCCCUGUCUUUUAUCAAGGAGGUAUCCUUGGGUUGGGAAGUGGCAGGCAAGGUCUGGUGCUUGAAUGUACAGAGUGGAGGAACCCCUUCCAGCAAGUUAGUCAGUGUGAAAUGGGAAGCUGCUAAUUAUGGGAUGUCCUCCUUGCUGACGGUGGCUCUGAAGGGAAGAUGCCUCCCUUCUCCUGCGUGGCGAGUGCACUGAUUCUCGUUUUCUUUUUCCAGCUCCUAAUACCCACUCAUCAAGCUUUGUGCUUCAAAAUGAAGGGAAGAGGCAGUGACUGGAAAGCUGAAGGGGAGUAAAACUUUUAUUUAGGCUGCUACGUUCACUCUUCCACUUGUGUUGGGAGCAGUCCAGGAGCUGCCUGCAGCGCACACUCACAUCCCAGGACCUGGGUGGCCUAGCAAACUGCCUGCAGCUUUUUCUAAGCCCUGUAGUCUCUCCGUUUUCCUACUUAAUGUUGUGUCUAUUCUUCCCGUGCCUCACCGAGAUUACAUCUGAUACGGAGAAUGAAAAAUGACACAAAAAGCAUCGUAAAUAAACCGGGCCCCAGCUCGUGGAGACAGCUGUAUCCUGUUUGUGGCUCCGGGGGAAGCGCUGAGAUUUCAUGGCUGUCAUCUUCUGUUCUCUUCCUGCCUCCAGCCCGUCUCUUUCUCGUUGUUUAGAAGUCGCAUCCUACAGGAUUAGAACUGCAAAAUCUCUGAAACAAAGGAAACCGUCCUGGGGUUCCAGCCGCAAAUUGUCCUCUUUCCAUUGAUCUCUGCGAGCAAGGCAGGCUCGCUCUUUUCUUCAGGGUGAUGCUGCGAAGAGAUAAAACUGCCUUGUGAUCUGAGCUCUUUGACAGUCUCCGUUUCAUCCCUGUGAUGAGCAGCGAAGCUUUUUAAGAACAAAAAGCAACACCUUCCAUCUCAUUGAGUAAAAUGGCAGGUUGCGGAAUAUCAAAGGCUGGCAAACAAGCCUGAGCCUCACAACCUCCCCAUGACAAAGCAAGCUGAGGAGCAGGGUGGCUAGAGGCAGUGACAUGCCUAGCUGAGCUGGCUGUGCUCAGCAUAACUCCUAGGAACUAGGCUGUGAAAAGUGGGUAUUGCAAAUUUGUCUCAGAAGGACGUACUCAUUUUGAAGCAAAUGUUGAUCAGCAAAACCGCAGAGUAGCUUCAGAGUUCCUUUCUCUGGACCUUUGACUCCUCCAAAGCUUAGGGAUGCCAAUGGGAUAUAGAAAAUGCUGAAACAAAUUCUCAUUUAUCUUCACUUUUAAAAAACAAAUAAAAUUUGUUGAUAAAAUUUAGAGAUUAUCUCAUACAACUGCAGCUCAAGCAGGGUCAGCUAGAGCAAGCUGCCCAGGACUGUGUCCAGUUGAGUUUUGAGCAUCUCCACAGAUGGAGGCUCUGGGCAGCCUAUUCUACUGUUCGAUCACCUUCAUUGUGGUGGUAGUUUUGUGUUUUGUUUUGUUUUUUUUUAAGUUUAUUUUUGUCUUCAGAUGGAAUUUCACAGUGUGGUCGUCUUCUUUGUUGUAAUCUGUGCCCAUUGCCUUGUCUUUUGGGCACCACUGAAAAGAACGUGGCUUCAUCUUCUUUGCACCUUCUCUUCAGGUAUUUGAUCCCCCUGAGCCUCCUCUCCAGGCUGAACACUCCCACAUCUCUUUCCCCUCAUUUGAAAGAUGCUCCAGCUUCUUUUUCAUCUUUGUGGCCCUUUGCUGGACUCACUUGGCCAGUGUCCUUGUAUUUCUGGUAUCAAGCACAGCACCUUGCGCUCCAGGUUUGUCACCAGUGAUGAGCAGAGAGGAGAAGUCACCUUCCUGAACGUGGUUGCAGUGCAGGAGGCUGGUGGCUUGCUUUGCUUUGAGGGUUCAUUGCUGUCUUUUGGUCAGCUCAGUGUCCACCAGGGAAACAGAGAAGCACCAUUCUUAAAUGACUUUCAAAAGGCUCAUCACAGAGGCCUUUUAAUUCCUCUUUCAUGCCUGUAAAUUAAAACCCCUAAAUACACCAUCAUUCAAUGGGAUUGUUUUCAGACCUCUUUCAUAAUCAAAUACUGAGCUUGCUAAAGCUUCCAUUCCAGGUAUUUUUUUAUGCUUAAAACAUGUGAUGACCUGAAAUGUUAUGCAGAAGCCGAAACUAAACGUUGUUUUUCAGUGCAUAUGCAAUGUGUAAGUUGUGAUAUCUCUGUCUCCAUAUUGUUUGAGUUCUGCCUUUUUGAAGACGGAAAAACAAGUCUUAAGAAGAUAUUCCAUUGCUUUUUUUCUCCUGAUUACUGUUGUUCUUUGGUGUUUUGCUUUGGUUGUUUUUCCCAGUGGAAACAAAUUCACUUGAUUUUGAAGAGGAAAGCUCAACACAAGCCAGCCCCAUGCGCUGGCAGCCCUGAAAACUAAGCAUGCCCUGGGCUGCAGCAGCGUGGCAGCAGGGCGAGGGAGGGGAUUGUCCCCUGCUUUCUCAUUUCUCUGUUGAAUUUUGAAGGCAAUGUUGUGUGAAGCUUUGAACUUCGAGAUGGUAGAGAUCCUUCCCUUCUCAGUCUCCAGUAAUCUUGGUAGGGAAGAGUGAAAAAUCCGUACUUAGAUUUGGAGACUUGGGCUGCUAUGCUGCCUUCUUUCUUUUGUAUGUUGCUGAGUAAAUUAUUCUUCAACAGAUGUUCCAGUGGGAUUUUCGUUUUGUGUGGUUUUAUUUCCUAGAAAUGAGGGAUGUGACUUCUCCACCUGCUUGCAGAUUUCUGGAUAGGCAGGGCCUUCAGCUGUAUAUUUUAUCCUGCACGGGAGCCAGGACUCAAGAAAAUCUGGGCUUCCACCACCUUUGUUGUCGGACUGGCUUGUUAAAUGAUGAAUAAGUCCUUCUUGACACUUUAGUUUACAUCUUAGU